GUCCACGCCGUAAACGUUGGGCGCUAGGUGUGGGGCUCUUUCCACGAGUUCCGUGCCGCAGCUAACGCAUUAAGCGCCCCGCCUGGGGAGUACGGCCGCAAGGCUAAAACUCAAAGGAAUUGACGGGGGCCCGCACAAGCGGCGGAGCAUGCGGAUUAAUUCGAUGCAACGCGAAGAACCUUACCAAGGCUUGACAUGGGGCGAAAACUGGCAGAGAUGUCAGGUCCGCAAGGGCGCCUCACAGGUGGUGCAUGGUUGUCGU
rnacentral:rRNA from 1 species